rnacentral:rRNA from 1 species
GGGGAAUAACAUCGGGAAACUAGAUGCUAAUACCGCAUACGCCCUUUGGGGGAAAGAUUUAUCGCCGAAAGAUUGGCCCGCGUCCGAUUAGCUAGUUGGUGAGGUAACGGCUUACCAAGGCUCCGAUCGGUAGCUGGUCUGAGAGGAUGACCAGCCACACUGGGACUGAGACACGGCCCAGACUCCUACGGGAGGCAGCAGUGGGGAAUAUUGGACAAUGGGCGCAAGCCUGAUCCAGCCAUGCCGCGUGAGUGAUGAAGGCCUUAGGGUUGUAAAGCUCUUUCACCCACGACGAUGAUGACGGUACCCGGAGAAGAAGCCCCGGCUAACUUCGUGCCA